UACNGUAGAGGUGGGCGGAAUUCGUGGUGUAGCGGUGAAAUGCUUAGAUAUCACGAAGAACUCCGAUUGCGAAGGCAGCUCACUGGACUGCAACUGACACUGAUGCUCGAAAGUGUGGGUAUCAAACAGGAUUAGAUACCCUGGUAGUCCACACAGUAAACGAUGAAUACUCGCUGUUUGCGAUAUACAGUAAGCGGCCAAGCGAAAGCAUUAAGUAUUCCACCUGGGGAGUACGCCGGCAACGGUGAAACUCAAAGGAAUUGACGGGGGCCCGCACAAGCGGAGGAACAUGUGGUUUAAUUCGAUGAUACGCGAGGAACCUUACCCGGGCUUAAAUUGCAGUGGAAUGAUGUGGAAACAUGUCAGUGAGCAAUCACCGCUGUGAAGGUGCUGCAUGGUUGUCGUCAGCUCGUGCCGUGAGGUGUCGGCUUAAGUGCCAUAACGAGCGCAACCCUUAUCUUCAGUUACUAACAGGUCAUGCUGAGGACUCUGGAGAGACUGCCGUCGUAAGAUGUGAGGAAGGUGGGAUGACGUCAAAUCAGCACGGCCCUUACGUCCGGGGCUACACACGUGUUACAGUGGGGGGUACAGAAGGCAGCUAGCGGGUGACCGUAUGCUAAUCCCAAAAUCCUCUCUCAGUUCGGAUCGAAGUCUGCAACCCGACUUCGUGAAGCUGGAUUCGCUAGUAAUCGCGCAUCAGCCACGGCGCGGUGAAUACGUUCCCGGGCCUUGUACACACCGCCCGUCAAGCCAUGGGAGCCGGGGGUACCUGAAGUACGUAACCGCAAGGAUCGUCCUAGGGUAAAACUGGUGACUGGGGCUAAGUCGUAACAAGGUAACC
rnacentral:rRNA from 1 species